AUUGUUGCACUGUAUGCUAAUUUGGAUGUAAGUUUUAAAAAAUAAAAAAAUAAAAUUAAAAAAAAAUCUCCUAUGCCCCACUGACCUUUUUUUUUUUUUCAAUCAUAGCAUCUGUAUCAAUCAGGGUUCAAGCAGAGAAAUACACAUGAUAUCUACAUGUGUUGCCAGAGUUUGAUGUUCAUACUACCAUAGUCAGGAGGGGAAGGUAGAUGUGGAGAGGACAGAUCAAGGACUGCCUGGGACCCCACAAGGACAGACUGAAACCUGUGUCUAAUGUUUGGCCUCUGACCUUGCUGACAAGGAAGGGUAUCCUGCAGAAACCAAAGCCUUUCAUCAGGGAGCCACACACACACCUAGCCCAGGACUCAACCUGGCCUAGGUAUCAAAGAAGCAGAGGGAGGUCAGGAAAGGUAGUCCCAGCUACCACUUCACGCCAGGGGUAUGAGUUAACUCAGCAGAUCAUCAACAGUAUGUGUGAGCUACACAGGAAAGGCUGCUGGUCCCCUUCAACUCUCUACACCUUCCAAGACUCCUCCUCUGGUCUAACAGGAAAGACGUGAGAAGUAGAAAUGUAGUUCAGCCCAGCCAAAUAGACACAUGACAAACCCAUCACAGUCCCUAUGGUACCUAACACUGUGCUGUAUAUUUAUUUGUUCCACGAAAGUGGGUAUUUUUUCCUUGUUUUCAAUAGAGUGGUACUUGGCACAUAGUUGAUACUCAAUGAAUAUUUAUAGAGUGAAUAUAGUAAACAUCUAAAGGUGAAUAUCCAGGUGAAUAUAAGGUCAACAUACUCCUAGGUCUAAGACAGGAGUAAGGGUCAAAGGAAGAGGUUGGGAGGGCAGGUUAACUGAACUGGUGACCGAUUUAUUGAGUGAGCUGGACCUUACGUGGAGACCGUGAGCAGGAAGUAAAUCCAUUUUUCUCCCUGCCCAUUCAAAGACACUCUGGGCUCAGACUUUUCCACUCUUGGACAAAAUUUUAGGCAAUCCCCAAAGCAUUUAUGAACUUUGCAGUUAACUUGGGGUCAUUUGACCAAGGUCUGUCUAAUAGAAUAUGGACUGAAGAGAUGCUGCUUUUCUUUUCAAGACCAGAACUCAAAGGGAUCCAAGUAGCUAAUGAUAAUCAGAACUUGGACACCAGAGCCAGGAGCUGAGGCACAAGCUCCUGAGUGUCCAUCGAAUUACAGAUCCUAGUAAGUGUGUUUGUCCGUGUGGGUCCUUGAAGAAACAGUGCGUCUUUGAUGGGGGAGGGAGAACUAUAAAUUCUGAGAGGCUGAUCUUAGCUGGAGAAAAGAGGACGGAACUGAGGUGGCAAAUCACACGACAUAAGCUUCCAUAUCUUGUAUAGACUAUGCUGGAGCGGAAGAGCUGAUGAGACAGAAAACAGAGACCUUUGUGGUUUUGAAAAAGAACCGCCACAAGAAAUGUGGUGUCGAAAAUGAGCGGAUCUGGAGAGGCAAGCACAGGAUGUGAGAGUUAAAUUGUGAGAUGAAAGAUUUUUUUUUUUUUAAAUCAGUGGAUACAGAGAAAGAGAUAGAUCAAGAGAAGCUUUGAAGGAAAUAAAACAACUAAAGCUGGUGACAGUUAACUUUAGGGAUGGGAGGGAGAUGAGUCAAAGUAACUCAGUUAUUUCAAGGCUCCAAAAUUUGGGAAAUGACAUUAAUGUCACUGGCCGUGACAGGAAAUAUUUGGGGAGAGGGAUCAUUUUUCAUGGAAACGUGAUGAAUUUUGUUUUGAAUAGGUUGAGUUGCAGUGACUUUGAGACACCCAGAAACAUCCAGUAAACAGUUGAUCAAGUUCUUCUCAAUCAGGCCAACAACUUCCCUUUUUCUUCCAAGUGUAGAAUAGUUAGGCUUCUGAUUAUUGGAGUCUUUCAAAUGAAUUUUGGGGGUGUCAAACCUGAAGGCAGAAUAAUAGUUUUCAAGCACUGGAUAUAUAUCUUGGGAUGAUGGAGAUAUUUAAUUCCUCCACCGUUUUGUUAUCUUUUAUUCUAUCUCCCACACCACCAUGAUAAUUAAGGAGUCUACACUUUGUUCACAUUGCUAAUAUAUUUAUAAGCGUGGCCCACCUGCUCUUUCAUGCCCUUGCUAGUUGCAAUUUAUUUUCCGACUUGACCUUUCUGACUUGGCCUCUGCAUGUGUCAAGUUGUCUUAUACACGUCCUUGAUCUUUUGCCCUGCUAACAUUUUGCAUGUGAUUACAUUUUAGAGUUUGGAGUCUUCAAUCAUGCAGUAAACAGAGAUGCUGCAUUAAUUUUAAAUUCAAGAGGUUGAAAAAGAGGUCAACUUGGAGCUAGAGACAAACUGGAUUUCUGCAAGAGGCAGCAUGCCUUGAAAGCCUGUAUUUCAGCCAGAUGAUUGGUGAAUGACCCUUGUGGCUGAUAUGCAGGGAGAGAAAUAAAUGAUUUGGAGGUGACAGCCGAGUUAAUGCAUCACUGCUGGUCAGUUUCCUGUUCCCCUGGGAGACCUAAUGCUAAAAAAUAUCAAGGAUUGUUAAGACCAGAAAGACAUGGGGGUUUGGGUGCCUGUGAGAUCUCCAGGCUGUGCCAGGAGAAGCACGUCUGUCCUGAUGAGUCAGUUAGUGCCUUUUCAUUUCCAUACAUAUGGCAGGAAUAUUUGGAAACAGCUCCCUUCUCUCUGAAGCUGUGAUACAGCCAAUCUCACUAGCCAGUUCUUUCUUCCCUUCAAUGCCUUACGCAGACACAGUGUAGGUCCAACUAUCCUACCUGUCACUGAGUGUGGUGAUUGUCAGGGAGGUGGGGGAAAUAUCACUUUGACAGAUAUAUUUGACAUGCUUAUUCAAAUAUGCCCUCUGUCCACUGCUGCUUGUGGAACGACCUCUUGCAAAGGCUGGCCUCUUUGCUUCUGCACGGGAGGCAGAAGUGUGUUUUUCCGUCACGUCCCCAUUUCAAAUCUUGUCAAAGCAGACAUAGACAUGAAGGUUUUCUCUUUUCUCAUUUCUCAGGCCAACUCUGUGUGCUGAUAAUGCUAUUGCCUUGGAUCGUAUAGGUUAAAAAAAAGAGAUAAAAUGAUGAUUAGUACUAAUAAGUGUAGGGUGAAAUAAUAUAUGCCUGCAGUGUGAGCGGAGCUGUGCACAAAUAAGUGUGCAAUAAGGUUUUUCAGUUUAUCUCUGUGGACAGGGGGUGCAUCAGAAUAGGAAGGCUGUUUCAAAAAUGCCCACCGAGGUUACAUUUUCAUUACCUCCAUGACAAGCAAUGACUGAUGAUACAGCUAAAAAUUCACCGUGAAUUUGACCAGCAUAGAGGAGAAAAAGGUUGAGCACCAAGUCCUGUGUGAUUGAUUAGAAUAAGGAGGGGAAUCAUUGUUCAGAUUGAAGUCUUUACUGAUAGCAGAUCAGAAGCUGAAUAUGAAAACCAGACCAAAUACACUGCUAUAGCUCAACAUUAACUUAGAAUUAGAUUAGACUUCUUUAUGCCUGAGGCUUAAUAAGAUUAGAAAAUCAUGUUGCAAUUAUGCAUGUUUUGGUGAUUCAAAUCAUGGAGGGGAGCUCUGAAGCCUGGAGAAGUGAAGAUUGCCCAUGGUCCAUGCGGUGUAAGGGCAAAAACCUAGGCUUUGUGAGCACAAGAAUCUGAGUUUGAUUUCUUGACCGGCCACUUGACCUUCAGGGAGUUUCUUAACUUUGCUUAGCCAUGGUUCCUUAUUAGCAAAAUCAGAAGGUUAAUACCUGUCAGUCAAAUUUAUGGUAGACAGUAAAUAAACUAAUCUGCAAAACAGUGUCAGGCAUGUCGCAAUCACUGAACAAAUGGGGCUGCCAGUAUUAAAUAUUCUUAGAAAAGAAUGACUUAGGAAUAAAAGCUGUACCCGCAUUCAAGAAUACAGCUUUUAUGUUAUUAUUAUUAUUAUUUUCUUUACAUCAUAUAGCUCCUAAAUCAAGUUCCCCACUAACAAGAACUAGCAUCUGUAGAGAGUUUGCACACAUUUUCAAAUCUGCUAUUCAGGACAAAAAGGAGGGAUCCAGUGUUGCAAUCCAGGUGGAAUGGUAGGGGACAUUGACUUUGAGAGGUUAAAUGACUUGCUCAAUAAUGCUAAUAAGAAAUAGAGUUGGGACUGAAUCCAAACUCAAGGUUCUCUUGCUCCAACCCGCUCCAGCUUUAUUCUUUUAUAAUCAAGAUUUUAUGAGUCACCAUUUCCUCACUCUCUAAUUAAAGGGGAAGUAUUAGUGCUCCCCAAACAUACUCUCUUUCUUAUUCCAUACACAUCCAUACAUUUCUGAUACGGAAAUGUAACUGGUAUACUGAAUCCACUGAACUCUAUAGGGUACAAAUGGAGAGCCAGUUUACCAUUUUCAUUAUAGUCCUUUCAAACAUUGUGGAUAUUUAUUCCUAUAACUGGGAUGAAAUCUUAACCAGCUUUUGAUGCCUCCAGGCGAUCUUAGAUAAUAAAGUGUCAACUGACCUUCCAGCCAUGACAAUAACUGGUACUUGACUACCUCUCCUAACAUAAACAACUAUCAAGCUAGGCAAAUAUAUAUGGAGCAACUAUUUUCAGAUGACGGACGACAGGCAGUAAUAGACUGCAAUCUCUACAAGAAGGAAAACACAUGAGCCAGUGACUACCCCAGAUUGCUGACUGGAGGCACGUUUAGACCAUGGCACAGGAAUCUGAAAUCCAAGCAAAGCACAACAAUCUCACUGCACUGAGGUGGCAGAGUUUGGGGCUGCUAAGGUCAGAACUUGCAGGGACGGAUACCUGGAAGGAGAAAACUGGGCAGAAAAAGAGCUCCAUAAAUCUGCACAUGCAACCCUUGAAUCUUUGGCCAAAUAGCUGCAUGUGUAGAGAGAAAUUCUGCAAGGCCUGGAAGCAAACAACUACUUAGGGAACUGUGAGCUGACUUGAAAUUUUGGAGAUCACAGAGUUCAGGGUGGCAUUAAAAUUCAGAUCAAUCAAAAUAGAUCUUGCUGAAACUUCAGGCAUUUAAUUGAAACUCCAGAAAGGCCACAACUCAAGAUACUUGGCUACUCUGGCUUAUGAAAAGAAGUAGCAAAAUGUGCUCUACAAUCAUUAGAUAAAAUAAUCAAUGGCAACAGACCCAGAGAUUACAGAGACAUUGGAAUCAACAGAAAAGAACUUAAAUAGCUAUUAGAAACAUAUUCAGUUAUUUAAAGAAAAUAUUGUCAUAAUUGGUGAACAGUUGGGUAAUCUCAGCAGAGAAAUUAGAAUUAUAAAACAAGAACUAAAUGGAACUGAAAAACAUGAUGUAUAUGAAAUGGAAAAUUACCUGGAUGAGUUUAGCAGAAGAUUGAAUACUGUAGAAGAAAAGAUCAGUAAACUAUCCAAAUAGAAUCAGAGAAGAAGAGCCUGAGAAAAAGAAAGGGCUUCAGAGAUUUUGGGAGCAACAUCAGUCAGUGUAGCUUGUGUAUAAUUGAAGUCCCUGAAAUAAGGAACAGUGAGAUUGAAGCAAAAACAAACAAACAAACCAACAAAACCAAGGAAAAAAUAAUUACCAAAAAAUUUCAAGUUUGACCCCAAAAUUUGAGAACAAGCAAUCCUAAAACUAUUUUUCAGCAUUGUAUUGGAGGUAUACAGUAUAUUAACAUAUAACAAGUAAAUCUAUCUAGCAAGGUUUCAGAAUUCAAGAUCAAUGUAUAAAAACCAUUGCGUUCCCACAUGCAAUAUAGCAAAAAAUAAUUGGAAAAUGAAAUUAAAAGUCAAUUCCACUGCCAGUAGCAUCAAAAAUUAUAAAAUACCUAGGAAUAAGUUUGAUAAAAGAUGUGUAAAUUCUCUACGUGAAACAUGACAAAACAAUGCUGAGAAUAUAGAAAGACCUAAAUACAUGGAGAAAUAUGCCACUUAUGGAUUGAAACUAUUACCACUUUCAAUAGCAUUAAGAAUAGUAUUAAGAAAUCAACUCUUCCCAAAUUGUUCCAUGGAUUCAAUAUGAUGCCAGUUAAAAUUCAAGCAGGUAUGGAAAUGUGGACUUAGAGUGGUCAAAACAAUUUAAAAAAUAAGGAACCUACACUGCUCAAUUUCAAGGUUUAUUUUAAAUUAUAAUAAUCAAAAUAUUAUUUUUGAUGUAAGGAUAGGUGAAUAUCAAUAAAACAAACAAACAAAAAAAGUGUGUGAAUAGACCCCACACAUAUGAUGUUAUGGUUUUAAAGAUGACAAAUUCUCAGAUACCUCUCUGAUCAGGAUGUGGGGUUCUCUGGAAUCUGGAUGGGCCUGUGACUGCUUUGACCAGAAGAAUAUGAUGGAAGUGACACUGUAUCAUUUCUGAGAGUAGGCCAUGAAAGGUUAUGCACCUUCUGCAGUUUCUCUUGGGACAUUUCUUUUGGGAGAAGCCAGUCAUUGUGUAAGAUUGACUACCCAAUGAUUGCCAUACUGGAGAGGUCAGAUGUAGAUAUUUUAAUUGCUACUCUCAGCGGGGCUCACAGUAGACCGCCAACACUCCAGUCAUGUGAGUGUGCUCCAUCUAACGCCCAGCUAAUUGAGCCUUCAGAUUGCUGUAAUCCCAUGCAUCUCAGUGUAUUCAUAUGAGAAACUCCAAGAGCUGCCCAGCAGAGCCUUUCUCAAAUUCCUGACCCACCAAAUAGUGACCAAACUAAAAGACCUGUUCUAAACCACUCAUUUCUGUGGCAGUUUGUUAUGUAGCAGCAGUAAUUGGAUAAUUUAAUGGGCAAAUGAGAGUCUUUUCAAGAAAUGGUGCAGGAACAACUAGAUAUCUAUAUGGGAAAAAAAAGGAACUUCAAUUCAUACUUCACACCAUACAUAAAACAUUAGUUUGAAUUGGAGGAUAGACUCUAAUGUAAAAGGAAAACAUAUAGAGCUUCUAGAUAAGCACAUCGAACUAUAAUUAUUCAAUGGCAUAUACUCAGCAAUAAGAAAGAAAAAUAACCUACUGAUAACAUGCAACAUCGUGGAUGUGUCUCAAAAACAUCAUUCUGAGCAAAAUAAGCCAGACAUGAAACAGGACAUACUAUAUGAACCCAUUUACAGGAAAUUCUAGGACAGGUAAAACUAAUCUAUAGUAGCAGUGAACCAUAGUUGUCUCUGCACAGGGGUGAAAUCCUGGCACUGGUGCCCUCUGUUCAUGGCAGGUCUCUAACGCCGAUUAUUUUCUUUCAGGUGCUUUUGUGGUUUCCACAGAAAUACCCCUGUUGGGUUCUCUAAUUGUAAUUCUCAUACUUUGAGUCUAAGCCUCUGUGUAUCCAACAGCUCAUCCCAUACUAACUCUCUCUUUUGGGUUCUAUCAUAUACUUCGGGAAUCGCCUGAGCAAAUUCCACUGGAAGGCAGCUCCGGGUCAGUUUCCUUCCCAAUGUGGCCCAUAUCUCACUGCAAAAACACUCACAAACCCUUAUCCCACCGUGAAUUGUAGUUUGUUUCCAGUGUAGGCUUUUACUCUGUAGUCACAAGCUUCAGCUUUUUGCCUCAGACUUCUUCCAGCAUUGGUCUGACAUCUGUCUUUGGACCUCACAUAUGCUAAGCAAUCAAAGUUAGAUGCUCUUAGCCAUUUGCUAGAUGCUUCUGUUACUUGCCCUUUUUCCCCUCUAGGAAGGGCAGAGAAAAUAUUAUAGCCCUCCAUAUCUUGUAAUUUUUUCGAGUAAUUUUUCUCUGCAAUCCCUUUAACUUUCAUCUUUUUUAUACCUCAAGAGAGUUGAUGAAAAAUCAUGGCAACACUGAUUUCUUAGCAUUCACUUUGCAAGUUCUGCAGAGGCGAUCAUGCCCUGCACUUUGUAAAGCAGGGGUACUUAGUACCUAUUGUUUGCUUUCUCCAGCUUUAGACUAAGGCAUAAAGAGUCCAAUUUUAACAUCUUGUUACAAAAAGGGGUCAUUUCAAUGCCCUGGAAGCUGACCUUUAGCUGACAUUCUUGGUGUUCCAAAGCAGAGCACUUUUACUAAAUUACUGGCUGCAGAAAAUCUGUCAGAAGAUUCAGUUUGUCCACAAUUAACAUUAAUGUCAAGUGUGACAGCUAAUUCUAUGACGCUUUCAGCAGUGAAAAUUCUCUUGUCUCACCAGUCUUUCUGCCACCCACAAAUAAAAAAAGGCUGACAGUCGGUGGAUAUAACUAGUUCUUCUCCUCCAUUAAUUAAUUCUCUGUUCUCACAUUAGAAUUUUAUUUAUUUUUUUUAAUUUUUUUUUUUAGAAUUUUAUUUUUAAAUAAAACAAAAUCAAUGCAGUCAAUACUAUAUGGGAUAAGUCACAGUCUCAUUGCAGUUAAAAGAAAACUUUAGUUUAUUUUUUGUGUUGUUCUUAGCUUUAUUGAGGUAUAAUUGAUACACAAAAAAUCCACACAUGUAAUGUAUACAUCUUGAGAAAUUUGGACCUGUGCAUAUACCUGGGAUACCAUCACCACAACCAAGAUACCAGGAAUUUCCUUCACCUCCAAAAGUGUUGUCAUAUUCUUGUGUGUGUGGGGUGGGGAGUGUGAUGGGAAGAAUAUGUAACAUCAAAUGGAUCCUCAUAUUUUACAGUGCAUAUACUGUAUUGUUACUAUGGGUACCAUGUUAUACAGAAAUAUCUGGAACUUAUUCACUUUGUAUAACUGAAACUUUAUACACAUUGAUAAAUAAUUCCCUAUUUCCCCCUCCCCCCAACACCUGGAAAUUAUUAUUCUAUUUUCUGCUUCUAUGAGUUAAAACUUCUGUCCACUGCUAGCAUCUAUUGAGAUGACAAAUACCUGGGAUUGAAGUAACAUGACCUCCUUGUUAACAAGUUAUGCCAGACAAGAUGAUUUAGUCAUGGAUUUCCUGAUAAAAAUAGUAACUAGAGUGAAAAGCCAACCAAUACCCGAGAGUGUGUACUGACUCUUGUGGGUUUCUUUGUGAAGAAUAGAUUUUCUACUGGAAAGUGAAAUUUCUUCUUCUUCUUCCUUUCUUUUUAUUGAUCUCUGUCAUUUUUAGUUACAAAAUUGGUUCUCUCUUGAGAUCUAGUAAUUUCCGUUCUGAAGACAAUGAUACCAAAUUGUGAUGUCCCUCUUCCCCUUUUGGCUUGUCCAAAAGCGGCAAGAAUGAGAAAUGGAAACCUAAUAUCUGUCUCCAGUAGAAGUGAGAGAUAACAUAUAUUUGGAACAACAAAGCAGAGUUUCACCUAGAGGAUAAAGCUCUUGGAGGAAAUUGGGAACAAGGUUCACGGCUGGCAUAGAUGUCUUCCCUCUGCUUGGUAUUGUUCUGUGAAAUGAAGGAUAAGACCAAAGGAAGAAUUACAUAGGUAAAACAAUUUGCAAGAAGCUUUCUGUCCUUGUGAUCAUGGGUGGAACUCUGGGAGUCUUUACGUUAUAAACCUCUCUACAGCUGAUGAACUCCACGGCUAGGGAAAAGUAAAUUCUCAAAAAGCUCAUAGAUACUCCCAUGGGACACGAGGAACCACGUCCUGGCUCCUUUCCCACAUGACCCUCAUAUAUACAAUUUGUUCAUGAAAAACUUACCUCAUUCAAAUGAUGGAAAAAAAUCAUAAAUACAUACAGUUAUUAGUAGAAGAAGAAAAGGAAAACAAGUUGCUGAUAGUGAAUGCUCACUAGAAAUAAAUUGCAGAUGAAUAUUAUACCCAGAUACUCACCAGUCAUUAAAAAAAAAAUUAAAGAGGCUAUUUCUCUAACACAGAAAAGAGACAAAGCAGAAAUAUAAGGCAUCAAGGGGAGCUGGUUGGAGAGUACAAAGAUAGACUGUAAGCUGGCAGAG